GUGCUCAUUUCGGCAGCACAGAUACUGAAUUUGAAACAAUACAGAGAUUAGCAAGGCCCCUGAGCAAGGAUGACAGACCGAUUCAUGAAGCAUUCCAUAUUUUU
ensembl:snRNA U6 U6 spliceosomal RNA